rnacentral:rRNA from 1 species
UACGUAGGGUGCAAGCGUUAAUCGGAAUUACUGGGCGUAAAGCGUGCGCAGGCGGUUGUGCAAGACUGAUGUGAAAUCCCCGGGCUUAACCUGGGAAUGGCAUUGGUGACUGCACGGCUAGAGUGUGUCAGAGGGGGGUAGAAUUCCACGUGUAGCAGUGAAAUGCGUAGAGGUAGUGGAGAUGACGGAAUGACCGAAGUGGCGAAGGCCCCAUGGGAUCCCCAUGGG